rnacentral:rRNA from 1 species
UUUGAUCCUGGCUCAGGAUGAACGCUGGCGGCGUGCCUAAUACAUGCAAGUCGAGCGAAUGGAUUAAGAGCUUGCUCUUAUGAAGUUAGCGGCGGACGGGUGAGUAACACGUGGGUAACCUGCCCAUAAGACUGGGAUAACUCCGGGAAACCGGGGCUAAUACCGGAUAACAUUUUGAACUGCAUGGUUCGAAAUUGAAAGGCGGCUUCGGCUGUCACUUAUGGAUGGACCCGCGUCGCAUUAGCUAGUUGGUGAGGUAACGGCUCACCAAGGCAACGAUGCGUAGCCGACCUGAGAGGGUGAUCGGCCACACUGGGACUGAGACACGGCCCAGACUCCUACGGGAGGCAGCAGUAGGGAAUCUUCCGCAAUGGACGAAAGUCUGACGGAGCAACGCCGCGUGAGUGAUGAAGGCUUUCGGGUCGUAAAACUCUGUUGUUAGGGAAGAACAAGUGCUAGUUGAAUAAGCUGGCACCUUGACGGUACCUAACCAGAAAGCCACGGCUAACUACGUGCCAGCAGCCGCGGUAAUACGUAGGUGGCAAGCGUUAUCCGGAAUUAUUGGGCGUAAAGCGCGCGCAGGUGGUUUCUUAAGUCUGAUGUGAAAGCCCACGGCUCAACCGUGGAGGGUCAUUGGAAACUGGGAGACUUGAGUGCAGAAGAGGAAAGUGGAAUUCCAUGUGUAGCGGUGAAAUGCGUAGAGAUAUGGAGGAACACCAGUGGCGAAGGCGACUUUANNGGU